UGCCCCCAGUUUUAAACUGAUGAAAAGAGAAGCUUAAGUUGUAAGUUGAAUGUUUGUUGGUAUAAUUUGCUGGUAUGUCGGGGUGCUUAAUGCAGAGUUGCUUGUGCUCUUAUUUUGACGUGGGGUCCUGGUUGCGUGUGCCCGUUUCUAUGGCAGCAGUUAUAAACUCUUGGGAAUGAAUGAAAUGUUGCGAAGAAUCAACACGUAACUUAAUGAAUGCCGAAGAUAAUGCCGGUAACUUCAUUUCACUUUGUACCGGAGUACACUUAUGUCCGCUCUAAGGCAGCAAUGUCUUUUUACACGUUGUUUCCGACAAAAUAAAUGCCAACUUUUGGAAGAACACGA